rnacentral:rRNA from 1 species
AGUAUCCUACGGGGGGCAGCAGUGGGGAAUAUUGGGCAAUGGGCGCAAGCCUGACCCAGCAACGCCGCGUGAGGGAAGAAGGCUUUCGGGUUGUAAACUUCUUUUAUCAGGGACGAAGUAAGUGACGGUACCUGAUGAAUAAGCCACGGCUAACUACGUGCCAGCAGCCGCGGUAAUACGUAGGUGGCAAGCGUUAUCCGGAUUUACUGGGUGUAAAGGGCGUGUAGGCGGGAGGGCAGGUCAGAU